UACGGGGGGAGCAAGCGUUGUUCGGAUUUACUGGGCGUAAAGCGUGCGUAGACGGUUAUCUAAGUCGGAUGUGAAAGCCCCGGGCUCAACCUGGGAAUUGCAUUCGAGACUGAAUAGCUAGGGUACGGUAGAGGGAAGUGGAAUUUCCGGUGUAGCGGUGAAAUGCGUAGAUAUCGGAAGGAACAUCAGUGGCGAAAGCGACUUCCUGGACCAGUACCGACGUUCAGGCACGAAAGCGUGGGGAGCAAACAGG
rnacentral:rRNA from 1 species